GGGUUGUGAGGUUAAGCGACUAAGCGUACACGGUGGAUGCCCUGGCAGUCAGAGGCGAUGAAGGACGUGCUAAUCUGCGAUAAGCGUCGGUAAGGUGAUAUGAACCGUUAUAACCGGCGAUUUCCGAAUGGGGAAACCCAGUGUGUUUCGACACACUAUCAUUAACUGAAUCCAUAGGUUAAUGAGGCGAACCGGGGGAACUGAAACAUCUAAGUACCCCGAGGAAAAGAAAUCAACCGAGAUUCCCCCAGUAGCGGCGAGCGAACGGGGAGCAGCCCAGAGCCUGAAUCAGUGUGUGUGUUAGUGGAAGCGUCUGGAAAGGCGCGCGAUACAGGGUGACAGCCCCGUACACAAAAAUGCACAUGCUGUGAGCUCGAUGAGUAGGG
rnacentral:rRNA from 1 species